rnacentral:rRNA from 1 species
UACGGAGGGACCAAGCGUUGUUCGGAUUUACUGGGCGUAAAGGGCGCGUAGGCGGUGAGGUAAGUCACUGGUGAAAUCUCUGAGCUUAACUCAGAACGGACAAGUGAUACUGCAGUACUAGAGUGCGGAAGGGGCAAUCGGAAUUCUUGGUGUAGCGGUGAAAUGCGUAGAUAUCAAGAGGAACACCUGAGGUGAAGACGGGUUGCUGGGCCGACACUGACGCUGAUGCGCGAAAGCCAGGGGAGCAAACGGG